UCUACUGAUUCUGCCCCUGUGACACUUGGUGGUGACAUGUGAGCUGAUUCACCUGGACACUCAGCAAAAUAUGGAUUCUACACCAUGAGGCAGGCACACGUUAAUACUCUAUAAGAGCACAUAAGCAUGAGGAUGUCCUCACACACCUGUAACCUAUCAGCUCAUCUGGCAGAAUAGAGAGAGAAGAGACAACACCACAUCUCCUGUUCCUGGAAAGCCUUCAGCCAUCCUUCGAUGACUGAGAACCUCCAUCAUCUCUGUCUUCUGUCUGCCUACAAUUAUUAUAAUAAAUAUUGUGUUUGACAAGUUUUUUGCGCUGCCAAAUAUCUCAUUUUGAUUCCAGUUUUGAUAUUUUAAUGGAUAUUUAUAAAUUACAUUAAUUGAAUUAUCACAUUGUUGCAUGUUUAACUAGCUCUAUUGUGAUGAAUUAAACUAGCACCUCACUGUUAAAAGCUCGUUUUAAUUUCAAGCAUGUUUAAGUAUUUAUGGACAUGAACAAAAACAGGAAAUAUAUAAAUUGAGAUGUAUUUAAUUAAUAUAACAAAUAAGGGGGAAAUAGUCAUUGAAAGGCACAUUCUUCUGGAAGCUCCUGAUCCUGACGACACCAGCAGAGACCAGCUGCAAACACCAGAGGAUCACACCUAUAACCAAGAGAGCAGCUAGUAUCAGUAAAUAAAUAAUGAAAUCAGGGCAGUUUUAGUGGGCUGAACACAUUACAGAAUAAUUUUCUCAUGGGGUAGUUUCAUAACUUUCUAUGCAGCAGACUGUCUUGAGCCCAGGGCUCCUGGAGAGCUGCUAUCCAGCAAGUUUCAGUGGUUUUCCUGCUUUAACAGGUUAGAUUAGCUGUUAAGCAGCUCAGCUAUUUGUUGCUGAUCAAAACCAGGUGUGUUGAAGCAGAUAAACCUCUAAAACGUGCUGAAUACUAGCUCUCUAGGGCCGUGGAGCCAAACCCUGCAGCUAAUCUGAUGCUAUGGCUAACGGCUACUUACCAUUCAGAGCUGGUUCUGUUGGGUCGGUUCCGCUAGUUUCAGGCAACUCACAAGCUCAAAACAAUAAGGCUCAGGUC